CUGGUCAUUACAAGAAUUACAAUUUUUCAUUAGUGUGCAAGACCAAGAGAUUGAAUUGCUUCCCAGUUCUUAUAGAUAUUGUUAGUAAUGGGCUACUUAGAAUGGCUAAAUCAUCAGCACAUAUCCAAACUGGAAGAACAUCUUUCAAGGUA